AGAAAACCAGGGCUCGAACCUGUACCUAAUAACCCAAAAUUAUUUGUACUUCAUUGUACUAUUCUCUA
rnacentral:tRNA from 1 species